rnacentral:lncRNA from 1 species
UAUUCUCACACUUUGCAUGGUUUCAUGAACUUCCUCCUUGGGAGCUUGUAGGGUUUCAUUUUCUUUGAGCUAUGGGAUGAACAAGAUCAUGUUUUUCUUCUUCUUUUGCUUCAUCCUUGAUUGUCUUUGCUUGGUGGUGGUGAAAACCCUUACAUAUCCCACUUUGUUUCUUGUUCUUUGAAGUUGAAAGUAUGAGCUUAAGGUUGUUUCUUUGCAUUUUCAUGAUGGGUCUUUGGUUUGGAUGAAGAGCUAUUUCGUUUUUCUACUCAUUUGCUGCCAUAUUUUCGUAUUUACUUUGGUUUUCUUGGAUUGGAUGAUGAAAAUGGAGUUCUAUGUGAGUUUUGGGUUGAAGAGAGCUUAAGGUGUUGUGUGGGUNGGUUUUCUUGGAUUGGAUGAUGAAAAUGGAGUUCUAUGUGAGUUUUGGGUUGAAGAGAGCUUAAGGUGUUGUGUGGGUGUUGUGGGUUUGGCUCUUUCCUUUCAUAUUUCGUUUUUGAUGUUUGAAACAAGGAAUGGACCAGAUUUUUGUGUUGUUAUGGUGGCUGGACAGAGCUGGAGUUGAUGGUUUAGGUUUUACUUUCGUUUUUGCAAAGAAAGUUGAAGAAAAGUAAGUGUUAGAAGUGGAUUGAUGAGUAGAAGUUUGUGUUUGUUGCUCUUGAAUCAUUUUGCAAUUGAAAGUUUGGGUUUCCUUGGUGCAUUCACGUUGUUGAUGGGUGAAGAAAGAGCAUUUUAAUGUUUGUGUUGGUGAAGAAAACGAAAAUGGUGAGUUGGAAAGGAGGAGAGAAGCUUCAUUUAAUUUUAACCACUUUUGGGCAAACAAAAAAGAUGUUUAUUUUCAUUCUAGGAAGAUUUCCAUUUUAAUCUUUGUCUCUUUGCUUGCAAUAGCCGAGACUUCCCUUGCAAUGGAGAAUGUUUUGUGUUUGCUUGCUUAUGUGGCACAAUGGUAGAAGAAGUUGAGCACCUUUUUGACUUGUGGACUUUUUAGAAGCAUUCUUUGCACCCAAGAAUUGUGUGGCUCGACAAUUUGGGUCUUGGUGUGUGUGAGUUACAUUUUUUU